rnacentral:tRNA from 1 species
GCCUAGUUAGCUUAGUUGGUAAGAGUGCGUCUGCCUGUGUAGCGCUAGGCCGCGGGUUCGAUUCCCGCCCGGGGCG